ensembl:lncRNA
GCUGCAGCCACUGGGGAGCGCCAUAUUGGGACCUCCACACUAACCGGAAACACGUGACCUCCACAGUAGCCGGAAACACGUGACCUCCACAGUAACCGGAAACACGUGACCUCCACAAUCGGCAGAAAUACGUUCCUGCGUGCAUCAUCGACUGUGGAAACCUUGCAAGUGGAUCGUAAAGAUGCACAUAUCAAUUUGGAAUUCUGCCUCCAAGCCAGAAUUGCAGGAAUGCACCACGUGUUGCAGAAGACUCUUUCACUGCCCUCUGUGCCCCACUUUCAGCCCUACUGUCAGGGCAAAGAUUGAGGAGUAUAUAAAUGGACACAUUAAAAAUGCUUUGCCUUUCAAAGACAAAAUGAUAUGCCGGUGCACUUUCACUGCCCUGUCUGUAACAUGACAAUCAUGCAGCGUGGGGAUAUGGCAAGGCAAAUAUUGUCAUGUCAGCGUUUAGGACUGCUCCCCACUGAACUCUCCGUGGAGCCCCGCCUCUCUCCCGCUGCACUCUCUGUGGAGCCACAUCUCCCUCUCGAUGUCUUGUCUCCAGUAUCUAAACCAUUUUCUGAAUCUUUGGUAGAACAUUCAUGUGUUCUACCCUCUGUGCUAAAUGAAACUGUGGCUUGUGGAAAGUCCAUGGAAAUGAAACGCCCUCACUGUGGUCUUAGUCUUCUUACAAAAAAAACUUCAAGGCUCACAUGAUGAGGAGGCAUUCAAACAGAUCAAUAGAUGUUUGCCUGGCCUGUCAUCUGCAGUGUUUUUGUGUAGAGGGACUUCUUCCUCUUUGUUUUUCAGUUUGCAGAGGACAUGGAGCUCUUUUUAAAAGCAUGUGCUGACGAGCAGGGACUAUGGGUCAAUGCGAUGUUUGACAUUUAAUGGACAGAUGAAGGCACUGGCUGUUUGUUUGUGUUUUUUAUGUGUUGUUUGUUUUUCAGUGUACAGAAUUCCAGUUAAGCUUAUUAUAAAAUGUUGUUCACUUGUUUCCAUGUCCAUACUAAUAGUAAAAAAUUUAAGUGUAAAUGUAACAGCAUGGUUUAUACUUGUAACUUCAAAGUAAAAAGCUUAUUGUUGAUAUUAACAUUAAUGUAUUACCCCGUAAUUAAUAAUAUUUUUAUACAUUUUACGCAUUAACCCUCUGGGCUCUAUCCUGUCCAUUUGUGGCCACUUCACUUCUUCUUUUUUGACUACUACACUGCAGUGGACCAAAAGAAUGACACAGGUUUGAUCUUAAGGAUCUAAUAGUUGUGUGUUUGUGCAUGACAUUGCAACGCAAAUAUGUAUUUGCAAGAUAGACUGGGAAUAAAUUAUGACGCAUCAAAUAUUA